CGCGUAGGUGGUUAGGUAAGCGAGAUGUGAAAGCCCCGGGCUUAACCUGGGAACGGCAUUUCGAACUGUCUGACUAGAGUAUGGUAGAGGGUAGUGGAAUUUCCUGUGUAGCGGUGAAAUGCGUAGAUAUGGGAAGGAACACCAGUGGCGAAGGCGGCUACCUGGACCAAUACUGACACUGAGGUGCGAAAGCGUGGGGAGCAAACA
rnacentral:rRNA from 1 species